rnacentral:rRNA from 1 species
UACGUAGGGGGCAAGCGUUGUCCGGAUUCAUUGGGCGUAAAGAGCGUGUAGGCGGCCAGGUAGGUCGGUUGUGAAAACUGGAGGCUCAACCUUCAGAGGUCGACCGAAACCAUCUGGCUAGAGUCCGGGAGAGGAGAGUGGAAUUCCUGGUGUAGCGGUGAAAUGCGUAGAUAUCAGGAGGAACACCGGUGGUGUAGACGGCUUUCUGGACCGUAACUGACGCUGAGACACGAAAGCGUGGGUAGCAAACAGG